UAUUCCUACUUUUGUGUGAGAUGACAUCACACUGUGCUGCAUAUUAUUUUCUAAUAGUAUAUUUAUCUCUUUUUCAGAAUGACUUAAGUCAAGCUAUCAGUCAGGAAGAGUUGCAACAUGGAAUGAGAGGUAUACACACAGCAAGUCCAAGACCGAUGCUAUCUGUGCUGUGUUGGCUGAAAGUGGUGAGAGGGAUUAUGCCUCUAGAAAUAGCAUCUUGGAUACGUUACUAAAGCUCUGGAGUGCUGGCAAAGAGGUUGCAGUACUUGAAGUUGUAUCAUCUGGUCUCAACCUUGGUGCAAGUGAAGCCCUUUCAAUGAGAAACGAACAACGUGAACUGUCUGUUUCUGUAAAUGCUCCACCUGAACCUGAAAACUCUGCACAGGGUCACCUCGGUGCAGAUGAGUCUCUUACUGUGGAUGCUCCACCAUCUGAACUUGAAAACUCGGCACAGGGUAC